AUUCCAACAUAACUAAGCAUCAUUUUAAAUAUUGAACAUACAAUUUUUAUGGGAAAAUUGAUUAAUUUACAAAGAUACAAAUGACCAUCGGCACUAUCCAGCGCAUUGGAUAACAAAAUUUAUGUGCAGUACAAUCUAUUUCAGACACAUAUGAUGAGGAUAACGAGAAUACACACUUAAAACAAUUACAGACUAACCAAAAUAUACAACCUUAAUGGUACAUUGCUAGGGAAGAAUAUAAUAAUUUUUAUUACUUUAUGACGUAUUCAAUACUUUAUAUUAUGAAUAUGCUCCAGCUUACAGCAUUUUGAAUAUUUUCAUGUAUUAACCGUACUUAACGCUCCCAAUAU
rnacentral:lncRNA from 1 species